GUGGCAGCCGCCGCGGUAAAACCAGCACCUCAAGUGGUCAGGAUGAUUAUUGGGCCUAAAGCAUCCGUAGCCGGCUUUGUAAGUUUUCGGUUAAAUCCAUAUGCUCAACAUAUGGGCUGCCGGGAAUACUGCAAAGCUAGGGAGUGGGAGAGGUAGACGGUACUCCGUAGGAAGGGGUAAAAUCCUUUGAUCUAUGGAUGACCACCAGUGGCGAAGGCGGUCUACCAGAACACGUCCGACGGUGAGGGAUGAAAGCUGGGGGAGCAAACCGGAUUAGAUACCCGGGUAGUCCCAGCUGUAAACUAUGCAAACUCAGUGAUGCAUUGGCUUGUGGCCAGUGCAGUGCCGCAGAGAAGUCGUUAAGUUUGCCGCCUGGGAAGUACGUACGCAAGUAUGAAACUUAAAGGAAUUGGCGGGGGAGCACCACAAGGGGUGAAGCCUGCGGUUCAAUUGGAGUCAACGCCAGAAAUCUUACCCGGAGAGACAGCAGGAUGAAGGUCAAGCUGAAGACUUUACCAGACAAGCUGAGAAGUGGUGCAUGGCCGUCGCCAGCUCGUGCCGUGGGAUGUCCUGUUAAGUCAGGUAACGAGCGAGAUCCUUGCCUCUAGUUGCCACCAUUACUCUCAGGAGUAGUGGGGCGAAUUAGCGGGACUGCCGUAGUUAAUACGGAGGAAGGAGAGGGCCACGGCAGGUCAGUAUGCCCUGAAACUCUGGGGCCACACGCGGGCUGCAAUGGUAGUGACAAUGUGUUCCGAAUCCGAGAGGAGGAGGUAAUCCAAAAACGCUACCACAGUUAUGACUGAGGGCUGCAACUCGCCCUCACGAAUAUGGAAUCCCUAGUAACUGCGUGUCAUUAUCGCGCGGUGAAUACGUCCCUGCUCCUUGCACACACCGCCCGUC
rnacentral:rRNA from 1 species